GACAGAGGGUGCAAACGUUGUUCGGAAUUACUGGGCGUAAAGCGCGUGUAGGCGGCUCGGAAAGUCGGGUGUGAAAGCCCUGGGCUUAACCCAGGAAGUGCACUCGAAACUUCCGAGCUGGAGUCCCGGAGAGGAAGGCGGAAUUCUCGGUGUAGAGGUGAAAUUCGUAGAUAUCGAGAGGAACACCGGUGGCGAAGGCGGCCUUCUGGACAGUGACUGACGCUGAGACGCGAAAGCGUGGGGAGCAAACAGG
rnacentral:rRNA from 1 species